AUCUGAAACUUGUGAGCUCCUUUUCUCUGUAUCCUUUUCAUUCCACCAAUUUAUAGAUGUGUGCGUGGCGAAACCAGAAAAAGCGCGUGAGACAUUGGAAAACGGAAAAUAUUCUUCAAGAAAUGAUAAGCUGAGCAUGUUGGAUUGGUAAAGAUCUUCGUGUGAAAACUAGUCUUUGGUUUUGAGUAUUCAAAGAUGGACGGAAGGUGAGAAAUGUAAAUUAGGUACUGGAGACAUAGCUUUGGAGUCCAGCAGACCUCAUAUAGGGUGAGCUUUCAGAUCUGCACACGGAGUCCAGAGUCACCUCACAUUUGCAGUGCAUUUGGUAGGAUAUUAGGCCAUUUUUGGUAUUUUGGUAUUUUGUAUCUUGUAAACUUCUGUAAUGAAUAUUAUAAACUCAUGUAAUUAUGCUCUUGAUGUAAUUAUCUAUGAAUUAUGUUCAGUAAUAAAUGUGAGCAUUUCUC